GCUCUGGGAUCCUUUGACCCAACUGCAGUCCAGAUGCAGCCUUAAGUCUUAAUUCUGCAGGAUUUCACAGCCUAGGACAUGGAACCUGCUGCUGUUCCUGCACCUCCAAAAGCAACAAGAGCAUGAAGACCACCACAUGCACAGGAGGUGCUGCUCCAGCACAAAGACCAGCAGAAUGAACUCACUGGGAUCAGCAGGUGGUGUAUGUUCAGCUGCUCUCGGCAGCACUCAGCUCACCUGUUCCCAGCGAGGGCAGCUGCCAUCAGGGAAGCAGUGCCCUGUGAAUGUGACAUUCAGAGGGCAGGAGAGCCCAGAUUUGUGAGGCAGACAUCAAAGUGCUCUCUAACAUGCAGAUGUUUCCCAUGCAGAGGCUGAGAAAAGUGAUGGCCAAGAGUUUGUAAAUCCUGUGCUGUGUUUUUUCCUUCGUUUUUUCCCUUACAUUCCCCAUUUCCUUUCCUUCUCUUAUGUGG